rnacentral:ncRNA from 2 species
GGUAGUUGCUGGGGGAGCUCUGUAAGGGCUGAGAAGGAGAUAUAAUCUCUUGACCCCUUGAACCUGAUCUGGAUAAUACCAGCGAAGGGAAGUGUGUGGGUUGAGUU